AGAAGCUCUGCCUCCCGCUUCUGCAGAUAGCGCUUGAUGGAUUGCAAGUGUUGCCAAGUUGUCUCGUAACCUUCACUAAGUAGGUCAGCCUGUUUAAAAAAGAAAAAAUGGAAAGGAAAAGCAAAAAUGAAUUGAAAGACAUUUUGGCAGUUAGAUCAUGGCAACCAUAGAAGAAAUUGCACAUCAAAUUAUUGAACAACAGAUGGGAGAGGUUGUUACAGAGCAGCAAACUGGCCAAAAAAUCCAGAUUGUGACAGCACUUGAUCAUAACACACAAGGCAAGCAGUUCAUUCUGACAAAUCAUGAUGUCUCUGCUCCAAGCAAAGUCAUUCUGGCCAGGCAAGAUUCCACACCUGGGAAAGUUUUUCUCACAACUCCUGACGCAGCAGGUGUCAACCAGUUAUUUUUUACAACUCCUGAUCUGUCUGCACAACACCUCCAGUUCUUAACAGAUAAUUCUUCUUCAGACCAAGGACCAAAUAAGAUUUUUGAUCUUUGCGUAGUAUGUGGAGACAAAGCAUCAGGGCGUCAUUAUGGAGCAAUAACUUGUGAAGGCUGCAAAGGAUUUUUUAAACGAAGUAUCCGAAAAAAUUUAGUUUACUCAUGUCGAGGAUCUAAGGACUGUAUUAUCAAUAAACACCAUCGAAACCGCUGUCAAUAUUGCAGGUUACAGAGAUGUAUUGCGUUUGGAAUGAAACAAGACUCUGUACAGUGUGAAAGGAAACCUAUUGAAGUAUCAAGAGAAAAAUCUUCCAACUGUGCCGCUUCAACAGAAAAAAUCUACAUCCGAAAAGACCUUCGAAGCCCAUUAGCUGCAACUCCAACUUUUGUAACAGAUAGUGAAACUGCAAGGUCAGCAGGAUUGUUAGACUCAGGAAUGUUUGUGAAUAUUCAUUCGUCUGGAAUAAAAACUGAGUCCUCAACGCUGAUGACACCAGAUAAGGCUGAUUCAUGUCAAGGAGAUUUAAGUACAUUGGCCAGUGUGGUUACAUCUUUAGCAAAUCUUGGAAAAACUAAAGAUCUUUUUCAAAAUAGUAAUAAAAUGUCUGUGACUGAAGGAUUAAGUAAUGGUGAUACCUCUUUGUGUGAAUUUAAUCAAGAAAUUCAUACCAACGGUGAUGUUUCAAGGGCAUUUGACACUCUUGCAAAAGCAUUGAAUCCCGGAGAGAGCACAGCCUGUCAGAGCUCAGUAGAGGGCAUGGAAGGAAACGUACACCUAAUUGCUGGAGACUCGAGCAUAAAUUACAUCGAAAAAGAGGGGCCGCUUCUCAGCGAUUCACAUGUAGCUUUCAGGCUCACAAUGCCUUCUCCUAUGCCUGAGUACCUGAAUGUACACUACAUCGGGGAGUCUGCCUCCAGACUGCUGUUCUUAUCGAUGCACUGGGCACUUUCUAUUCCUUCCUUCCAGGCUUUGGGGCAGGAAAACAGCAUAUCUUUGGUGAAAGCUUAUUGGAAUGAACUUUUUACUCUUGGUCUUGCCCAGUGCUGGCAAGUAAUGAAUGUGGCAACUAUAUUAGCAACAUUUGUCAAUUGCCUUCACAGUAGCCUUCAACAAGAUAAAAUGUCAACAGAAAGAAGAAAAUUAUUGAUGGAGCACAUCUUCAAACUUCAAGAGUUUUGCAACAGCAUGGUUAAACUCUGCGUUGAUGGCUAUGAAUAUGCCUACCUAAAAGCAAUAGUACUCUUCAGUCCAGACCAUCCAGGCCUAGAAAACAUGGGACAGAUUGAGAAAUUUCAGGAAAAGGCUUAUGUGGAAUUUCAAGAUUAUAUAACCAGAACAUAUCCAGAUGACACCUACAGGUUGUCCAGACUCCUACUCAGAUUGCCAGCUUUGAGGUUGAUGAAUGCUACCAUCACUGAAGAAUUGUUUUUCAAAGGUCUCAUUGGCAAUGUACGAAUUGACAGUGUUAUCCCACAUAUUUUAAAAAUGGAACCUGCAGAUUAUAACUCACAAAUAAUUGGUCACAGCAUAUGAAAGCUGAGCACUCAGUGUAAACUUAUUGUUCUUUCUCAGAACACAAGACACCAAAUUGAACUCACUGUUUCCAGAGCACCUGGAAAUUUUGACUUUAAAGAAUAACCAAAAACCAAGAUAUUUUUAUUUUUACUUUCUUAAGAAGAAUUUUCAAAGUGACUGGGCAGGUAGCAGGAAUUAGAGUUUCCUGUCUUAUUUAAGUGAUAAGAAAUACUAUGAAUUUUUUCUUGGUUAAGAUGAUAUCUAAAGCUGUCACCUUUUAACUAUCUAAACUAAAAUCUCUCAUAUCUUAUUUGGUGAAAUAAAUAAAUUAGUGUUUUUUUCCCAGAAUUGUGUUCUAUUCAUGUUUAACUUCAUUAUGAGCUAGUACAAAUACAUAAUUGUCAGAAGUCUCUGAGGAUAUCCUUGUAUAUUACACUUUUGUAAUAUAAUCUGUUUUAAUUACUUUGUUAAAAGAUUAUUUUAUGGUCAAUGGUGUAAUGAUAACAUUAGAACCAGAGGAAAUCAUAAUUGAAUAUAUAUUUUUUUGUCUUUUAUAAAUAUUAUGGCACUCAUAGCAUAGACCACUCAUUGCUGGCAGUGAGACAGGAUAUUCACGAUCUUAAAACUUGACUUUUUUAGUGGUUUAUGUUAUUAGUUACAAGCACUUUUUAUUUAUGUAUGUAACAGAAAAUUGUUUUUGAGAAUAAGAUAAGGUUCAUGUUUUAAUAUUUUCAGUUUACUGAAGUGUUUUAAAAGUAGUCGAAACUGGUUGAGCCCAAAAUAUUUCAGUAUUGCAGAGUAGAUCUUAAAAUGUUGCUCUUUCAUUGCACAGAAAACAUCUGUCCUCUUCCUCUUUCCUGAUCCAUAUUAUAUAGUUUCCUGACCCUUCCAUGGGUGUUAGCCAAUUUCUUUUAGGUCAUUUCGAAAUACAGUUUGUUAAAUAAUGGAUUUAUCAUAACCAAUCUGUGUUGUCAAGGUGAGUGAAAGAAUUAUUUUAAGGCAGUUAAUAGUUUUUAAAAACUAAAACUUUUUAGUAUAUAAAGGAAUAUGCACUGAUUUUUCACUAUAAAGAGGGAAGGGCUAUUUUAGUAUGAGCAUUGGCCUAAAACCUUGUUAUUGCUACAACAAAAGCAUUUUUAAUUUUUUGGAUGUCUUCCACAGUAAUGUUUUUCAUAGCAAACUUAAUACUGUUAAAUAUUUAUUUGCUCUGAUUUCAUGAUGAAUUGUUUUAGUGUGUUUAUUUGUUGCUUUGUUAUAAAAAACAAAAUGGAGAUUUCAUUGUACUUGGAGUACAUCUUUUACAAAGAUUUUUGUAAUAGAAGAGAAGCUAAAUUUGGGGAGGCUGUGGAUUUUACUAAUUACUACUUUAUAGUAAAUCAAAAGUUUAAAAAUAUCACCAUACAGUCUUUACCAUCUUACUAAGGGAAAUUUUUCCCUAUUUAAAACAUGUUUUUUGUUUUUUGUUUUUUUUUUGUCAUUAGGUUUAUUUAUAAUAUUAGCUGUAGAAAACUACAUUUACUAUAAAAAUAUACAAAUGGGAAAAUUAGUAGCUUUAUACCUUUAUAACCCCAAGAAGUAAGCCAAGGAUUCAGAAAUAAUGUAAUAAUGGUCAAUUAACACACGUUUACUGCAGGUAUUUUUCAUGAUUAAAUUUGUAGUUAUAUUUGGAAGUGUAUUUAGAUCUAUAUUAAAAUGUGACCUGCAUUAUAAA